rnacentral:rRNA from 1 species
UAACUUGGAUCUGGCUCACGACAAAUGCUGGCUUUGUGCCUAAAACCUGCUUGUCGAGCGGAGUUUUGAGAACCUUGCUUUUCCAAGCUUAGACGCGGACGGGUGACUAACACGUGGGCAACCUGCCCUUGAGACUUGGAUAACUCCGGUAACCCGGAACUCAUACCUCAUAACGCCUAUCUUCACAUGACAAUCCGUUAUAAGGUGGCUUUUUUCUACCACUCAUCGAUGGGCCCGCGGCGCACCCUCUAGUUGGUGAGGUGACGGCUCACCAAGGCCACGAUGCGUAGCCGACCUGAGAGGGUGAUCGGCCACCUCCUUCCUGACACCUUGCCCAGACUCCUAGUUUAGGCACCCCUACGUAAUCUUCCGCAAUGGACGAAAGUCUGACGGACUCCGCCGCGUGAGUGAUGAAGGUUUUCGGAUCGUAAAGCUCUGAUGUUCGGGAAGAACCAAUACCUGUGACAUAAACGAGUGCCUUGACGGUACCUAACCCAAAAGCCUCGGCUAACUACGUGCCAUCCUCCGCGAUAAUACAUAUGUGGCAAGUGUUGUCCGGAAUGAUUGGGCGUAAAGCGCGUGCAUUGAGUUCCUUAAGUCUGAUGUGAAACCCCACGGCUCAACCGUGGAGGGGCCUUGGAAACUGGGGAACUUGAAUGCAGAUGAAGAGAGCGGAAUUCCACGUGUAGCGGUGAAAUGCGUAGAUAUGUGGAGGAACACCGAUGGCGAAGGCGGCUCUCUGGUCUGUCACUGACGCUGAGGCGCGAAAGCGUGGGGAUCGAACAGGAUUAGAUACCCUGGUAGUCCACGCCCUAAACGAUGAAUGCUCAAUGUUAGAGAGUUUCCGCCCUUUACUGCUGCAACACACUCAUUAUUCCCUCCGCCUGGGGAGCCCGGUCGGAUGACUGACACUCGAAUGAAUUAACGGCCACCCGCACAAACGAUGGAGCGUGUGAAUUAAUUCAAACCAACGCAAACAUACUUAGCCUUGCUUGACAUCGUCUGAUACUUAUACAAAUCAAACGUUCCCUUCAGGAACCUAGUGGCUGGUGGUGUGUGGUUGUCUCCUGCUCGGGUCUGGUGAUGUUGGUCUAAGUCCCACAGCGACCGCUAUCCUUGAUCUUAGUUGCCAGCAGUCGGUUACUCUCUCUAAAGUGACUGCCGGUGACAAACCGAAGGAAGGUGGGGAUGACGUCAAAUCAUCAUGUUACUUAUGACCUGAGCUACACGCUUGCUGGAUGGAUGAUA